AUGGAAAUAAAGGUGGUGUUAAAUCUCUCUCUCUGCCUGUCUCUCUCUCUCUGCCUCCCUCUCUCUCUCUGCCUGUCUCUCUCUCUGCCUCCCUGUCUCUCUCUCUGCCUCCCUGUCUCUCUCUCUGCCUGUCUCUCUCUCUGCCUCCCUGUCUCUCUCUCUGCCUGUCUCUCUCUGCCUGUCUCUCUCUCUGCCUCCCUGUCUCUCUCUCUGCCUGUCUCUCUCUGCCUGUCUCUCUCUCUGUGCCUGUCUCUCCCUCUCUCUCUCUCUGCCGGUCUCUCUCUCUGCCGGUCUCUCUCUCUGCCUCCCUGUCUCUCUCUGCCGGUCUCUCUCUCUGCCGGUCUCUCUCUCUGCCUCCCUGUCUCUCUCUCUGCCUGUCUCUCUCUGCCUGUCUCUCUCUCUGUGCCUGUCUCUCCCUCUCUCUGCCUGUCUCUCUCUCUCUCUCUCUCUGCCGGUCUCUCUCUCUCUCUGCCUCCCUCUCUCUGCCUGUCUCUCUCUGCCUCCCUCUCUCUGCCUGUCUCUCCCUCUCUCUGCCUGUCUCUCUCUCUGCCGGUCUCUCUCUCUCUCUGCCUCCCUCUCUCUGCCUGUCUCUCUCUCUCUCUGCCUCCCUCUCUCUGCCUGUCUCUCUCUCUGCCUGUCUCUCUCUCUCUCUGCCUCCCUCUCUCUGCCUGUCUCUCUCUCUGCCUGUCUCUCUCUCUGCCUGUCUCUCUCUGCCUCCCUCUCUCUGCCUCCCUCUCUCUGCCCCCCCCUCUCUCUCUGCCUGUCUCUCUCUCUGCCUGUCUCUCUCUCUGCCUGUCUCUCUCUCUGCCUCCCUGUCUCUCUCUGCCGGUCUCUCUCUCUGCCGGUCUCUCUCUCUGCCUCCCUGUCUCUCUCUCUGCCUGUCUCUCUCUGCCUGUCUCUCUCUCUGUGCCUGUCUCUCCCUCUCUCUGCCUGUCUCUCUCUCUCAAAAUCUCUCUGCCGGUCUCUCUCUCUCUCUGCCUCCCUCUCUCUGCCUGUCUCUCUCUGCCUCCCUCUCUCUGCCUGUCUCUCCCUCUCUCUGCCUGUCUCUCUCUCUGCCGGUCUCUCUCUCUCUCUGCCUCCCUCUCUCUGCCUGUCUCUCUCUCUGCCUGUCUCUCUCUCUCUCUGCCUCCCUCUCUCUGCCUGUCUCUCUCUCUGCCUGUCUCUCUCUCUCUCUGCCUCCCUCUCUCUGCCUGUCUCUCUCUCUGCCUGUCUCUCUCUCUGCCUGUCUCUCUCUGCUCCUCUCUCUGCCUCCCUCUCUCUGCCUCCCUCUCUCUCUCUCUGCCUCCCUCUCUCUGCCUGUCUCUCUCUCUCUCUGCCUGUCUCUCUCUCUGCCUGUCUCUCUCUCUGCCUGUCUCUCUCUCUGCCUGUCUCUCUCUCUCUGCCUCCCUGUCUCUCUCUCUGCCUGUCUCUCUCUGCCUCCCUCUCUCUGCCUGUCUCUCUCUGCCUGUCUCUCCCUCUGCCUGUCUCUCUCUGCCUCCCUCUCUCUGCCUGUCUCUCUCUCUGCCUGUCUCUCUCUCUGCCUCCCUGUCUCUCUCUCUGCCUGUCUCUCUCUGCCUCCCUCUCUCUGCCUGUCUCUCUCUCUGCCUGUCUCUCUCUCUGCCUGUCUCUCUCUGCCUGUCUCUCUCUGCCUGUCUCUCUCUGCCUGUCUCUCCCUCUGCCUGUCUCUCUCUCUGCCUCCCUGUCUCUCUCUCUGCCUGUCUCUCUCUGCCUCCCUCUCUCUGCCUGUCUCUCCCUCUGCCUGUCUCUCUCUGCCUGUCUCUCUCUCUCCUCUGCCUCCCUCUCUCUGCCUGUCUCUCUCUCUGCCUGUCUCUCUCUCUGCCUCCCUGUCUCUCUCUCUGCCUGUCUCUCUCUCUGCCUCCCUCUCUCUGCCUGUCUCUCUCUCUGCCUGUCUCUCUCUCUGCCUGUCUCUCUCUGCCUCCCUCUCUCUGCCUGUCUCUCUCUCUGCCUGUCUCUCUCUCUGCCUGUCUCUCUCUGCCUCCCUCUCUCUGCCUGUCUCUCUCUCUGCCUCCCUCUCUCUGCCUGUCUCUCUCUCUGCCUGUCUCUCUCUGCCUCCCUCUCUCUGCCUCCCUCUCUCUGCCUGUCUCUCCCUCUGCCUGUCUCUCUCUCUGCCUGUCUCUCCCUCUGCCUGUCUCUCUCUCUGCCGGUCUCUCUCUCUCUCUGCCUGUCUCUCUCUCUGCCUGUCUCUCUCUCUGCCUGUCUCUCUCUCUGCCUGUCUCUCUCUCUCUGCCUGUCUCUCUCUCUGCCUGUCUCUCUCUCUGCCUGUCUCUCUCUGCCUCCCUCUCUCUGCCUGUCUCUCUCUCUGCCUGUCUCUCUCUGCCUCCCUCUCUCUGCCUCCCUCUCUCUGCCUGUCUCUCUCUCUGCCUGUCUCUCUCUGCCUCCCUCUCUCUGCCUGUCUCUCUCUCUGCCUGUCUCUCCCUCCUGUCUCUCUCUCUCUCUCUGUCUCUGCCUCCCUCUCUCUGCCUGUCUCUCUCUCUCCUGUCUCUCUCUCUGCCUCCCUGUCUCUCUCUCUGCCUGUCUCUCUCUGCCUCCCUCUCUCUGCCUGUCUCUCUCUCUGCCUGUCUCUCUCUCUCUGCCUGUCUCUCUCUGCCUACCUCUCUCUGCCUGUCUCUCUCUGCCUGUCUCUCUCUCUGCCUGUCUCUCUCUGCCUCCUCUCUCUCUGCCUCCUCUCUCUGCCUGUCUCUCUCUCUGCCUGUCUCUCUCUCUCCUCUGCCGUCUCUCUGCCUGUCUCUCUCUGCCUCCCUCUCUCUGCCUGUCUCUCUCUCUGCCUGUCUCUCUCUCUGCCUGUCUCUCUCUCUGCCUGUCUCUCUCUGCCUCCCUCUCUCUGCCUCCUCUCUCUCUGCCUGUCUCUCCCUCUGCCUGUCUCUCUCUCUGCCUCUCUCUCUCUCUCUGCCUGUCUCUCUCUCUGCCUGUCUCUCCCUCUGCCUGUCUCUCUCUCUGCCUGUCUCUCUCUGCCUGUCUCUCUCUCUGCCUGUCUCUCUCUCUCUAAAACACCUGAACGGGUCAGGUGAUGAACUGAUUCACGAGUGUGUGUGUGUUCCAGAGAGGUGGACAGGAUGCUCCAGUCGCUCAGCUCCUUCCUGUCUCCACCAGCUCAGGUCAGGAAAAGCAGUCGCCGCUCCAACAGCCCACCUCCAGGAGACGAUGACAUCAUCAUUGUGA
rnacentral:lncRNA from 1 species